CCUACGGGAGACAGCAGUGAGGAAUAUUGGUCAAUGGACGAGAGUCUGAACCAGCCAAGUAGCGUGAAGGAUGACUGCCCUAUGGGUUGUAAACUUCUUUUAUAUGGGAAUAAAAUGUUCCACGUGUGGGAUUUUGCAUGUACCAUAUGAAUAAGGAUCGGCUAACUCCGUGCCAGCAGCCGCGGUAAUACGGAGGAUCCGAGCGUUAUCCGGAUUUAUUGGGUUUAAAGGGAGCGUAGGUGGAUUGUUAAGUCAGUUGUGAAAGUUUGCGGCUCAACCGUAAAAUUGCAGUUGAAACUGGCAGGCUUGAGUACAGUAGAGGUGGGCGGAAUUCGUGGUGUAGCGGUGAAAUGCUUAGAUAUCACGAAGAACUCCGAUUGCGAAGGCAGCUCACUGGACUGCAACUGACACUGAGGCUCGAAAGUGUGGGUAUCAAACAGGAUUAGAUACCCGAGUAGUC
rnacentral:rRNA from 1 species